GGGGCGCCGGCCGAGACCUGAGACGUGGCGAUGCCGCUCUGCCGGCCUCGGCUCCAGUGCUUGAAUUUCAGCCACAUCCCUAAGCUGCCAUCUCAGACCAGAGGAACAGGGAGGGGACUUUCUGGAAAGAACAUCACCUGGAAGAAAUCAGGACAUGACUGUGGGCCAUGAGUGACCUUCAAGGAAAGCCAGGUAUCUGUGGUAUUUAAGAUGUGGUAAGACUGUAUUAAAAUUAUAGAAAAAACCUCAAUCCAGAAA